rnacentral:rRNA from 1 species
UGACUCCUGGACUCAGAACGAACGCUGGCGGCAGGCUUAACACAUGCAAGUCGAACGGUCUCUUCGGAGGCAGUGGCAGACGGGUGAGUAACGCGUGGGAAUCUACCUAGUUCUACGGAACAACAGUUGGAAACGACUGCUAAUACCGUAUACGCCCUAAGGGGGAAAGAUUUAUCGGAAUUAGAUGAGCCCGCGUAAGAUUAGCUAGUUGGUGAGGUAAUGGCUCACCAAGGCGACGAUCUUUAGCUGGUCUGAGAGGAUGAUCAGCCACACUGGGACUGAGACACGGCCCAGACUCCUACGGGAGGCAGCAGUGGGGAAUAUUGGACAAUGGGCGCAAGCCUGAUCCAGCCAUGCCGCGUGAGUGAUGAAGGCCUUAGGGGUUGUAAAGCUCUUUUCACCGAUGAAGAUAAUGACGGUAGUCGGAGAAGAAGCCCCGGCUAACUUCGUG